rnacentral:tRNA from 1 species
GGAGAGGUGGCAGAGUCCGGUUUAUCGCGCACGACUCGAAAUCGUGUAGACCUUAACGGUCUCGUGGGUUCAAAUCCCACCCUCUCCGCCA